rnacentral:lncRNA from 1 species
AUAUAUUAUGUAGAAAAACUCAAAUGUAAACAAAUGUAUUAUUUUAAGAUGUUUAAAUGUGACGCAUGGUCAAUGUUUACCUGUAGGACAUGAUUUUUGACCCCGUACUGUCUACUGUCUAAUUACUGGAAAAUAUCUAACAUUUUAGAAAAAAAAAUCCUUCUUGAUCCUUCUAUCAUAAGUCAAUGGGAAUAUAACAAAACUCACCUUUAGAAAUACUCAAUUUAGAUCCUUUGUUCAUGAAAUCAUUCCACGUGUUAUCCUUCAAUCAUUCGAUCAUCUCAAUUUUCACGAGAUUAUGCCGAUCAAGGUUAAGGGUCAAUGAUUAAAUUAUAACCAACAUCGGAUAAUGAAUAGUACAACUUCCGUAUUUACGUUACAUUAUGAUGACCUCCACAUAACUAAGAACUUAGACAAAUUGUUAAAAUCAAUGUAUUGUAUUUAUGAUAACUAAUCAUAAUUAAUAUAUAUAUAUAUAUAUACAUAUAAAUAUAAAUUUACUGUAUAAUCUCCCUGGUUAAACAGUAACUAAUUCACAGGGAUACCCGGCUGAAUGCUGUGAGUCGAGUAAUUUGUUAAACAGCA